ACGAACGCUGGCGGCGUGCCUAAUACAUGCCAGUCGAACGCUUCUUUCCUCCCGAGUGCUUGCACUCAAUUGGAAAGAGGAGUGGCGGACGGGUGAGUAACACGUGGGUAACCUACCCAUCAGAGGGGGAUAACACUUGGAAACAGGUGCUAAUACCGCAUAACAGUUUAUGCCGCAUGGCAUAAGAGUGAAAGGCGCUUUCGGGUGUCGCUGAUGGAUGGACCCGCGGUGCAUUAGCUAGUUGGUGAGGUAACGGCUCACCAAGGCCACGAUGCAUAGCCGACCUGAGAGGGUGAUCGGCCACACUGGGACUGAGACACGGCCCAGACUCCUACGGGAGGCAGCAGUAGGGAAUCUUCGGCAAUGGACGAAAGUCUGACCGAGCAACGCCGCGUGAGUGAAGAAGGUUUUCGGAUCGUAAAACUCUGUUGUUAGAGAAGAACAAGGACGUUAGUAACUGAACGUCCCCUGACGGUAUCUAACCAGAAAGCCACGGCUAACUACGUG
rnacentral:rRNA from 1 species